UCCCUGAUAGCUCAGUUGGUAAAGAAUCUGCCUGCAGUGCAGGAGAUCCUGGUUCGAUUUCUGGGUCAGGAAU
rfam:TPA: Bos taurus chromosome 12, whole genome shotgun sequence.